GCGAGCAUCUGCCAGGAUGUUUUCAUUAAUCAAGAACGAAAGUUAGGGGAUCGAAGACGAUCAGAUACCGUCGUAGUCUUAACCAUAAACGAUGCCGACCAGCGAUUAGGAGACGUUGAAUACAAAACACCACCAUCGGUGCGGUCGUCCUUGGCGUCGGUCUUUCGGGGCCGGCGCGGGGACGGCUUAGCCCGGUGGCACCGGUGAAUGACUCCCCU
rnacentral:rRNA from 1 species